ACGAACGCUGGCGGCCGCUUAACACAUGCAAGUCGAGCGAAGCGGCGGACGGGUGAGUAACGCGUGAGCAACCUGCCUAUGACAGUGGGAUAGCCUCGGGAAACCGGGAUUAAUACCGCAUAGUCAUAGAUGGGCUCGCGUCUGAUUAGCUAGUUGGUGAGAUAACAGCUCACCAAGGCGACGAUCAGUAGCCGGUCUGGUAAGAUGAACGGCCACAUUGGAACUGAGGCCCGGUCCAAACUCCGACGGGAGGCAGCAGGGGGGAAUAUUGAACAAUGGGGGAAACCCUGAUGCAGCGACGCCGCGUGAACGAAGAAGGUAUUCGUAUCGUAAAGUUCUGUCCUAUGGGAAGCAGUACCAUAGAAGAAAGCUCCGGCUAAAUACGUGCCAGCAGCCGCGGUAAUAC
rnacentral:rRNA from 1 species